rnacentral:rRNA from 1 species
AUGAAUGCACACAUACAGAAUUAUGUGGACUUGUAUUACUCCAUUGACAAAUUUAGGGCAGCCUAUGACCAACUAAUUCCUGCCAUGGUUGACAAGAACCAAUGGCCUAAAUCUGACCAUGGAUUCUUCAUGUUUCCACCACUACUAAAAUCCAUGGCGGGUAGGCAUAAAACUAAGAGGUAUAAAGGCUGCAGUGAGAAGAAAAGAAAAAGCGGCCAACACUUAUGCCCUAUUUGUAAGGACUAUGGGCAUCAUUGGCAUAAAUGCAAGAAGGAGGACCACCAAAGAAGAGGGAAAAGACCACCAAAGCAUCAAUUGUGCCUUACGAGGAUGAUGCUCCAGCAUCCUCUAUGUGCUUUCUGCCAAGCCAAAGCUUGGAACCUACAACUACGAAAAAGAGAAAACAUGAUAACUCAAUUACUGGAGCAUCAAAAAGCCAAAUGUUGGAGAAAACAACUAAGGGAAAGGGACUAA